GAAAGCGCGAAACGUAAUGUGAAUUGCAGAAUUCAGUGAAUCAUCGAAUCUUUGAACGCACCUUGCGCUCCUUGGUAUUCCGAGGAGCAUGCCCGUUUGAGUGUCGUGAAGUCUAUCGAAAAAAAACCCCCCCUUGGGAGGGCUUUUCGGAUUUGGACGCCUUGCCGCCCUUUCGGGGCGCGGCUCGUCCCUAAACGCAUUAGCGAAGAGCGCCCCGUUCUCCGUCUCCGCUCUCAAGGACGUGAUAAGCCCUUUGCGUCGCUUUGAAAAUGGAAAGGAGGAGGCGAGGCCCCCCCGUUCGCUUCGAACCCCUGUCAUAUCGUUUUAUUUCUCUGACCUCAAAUCGGGCAGGACUACCCGCUGAACUUAA
rnacentral:misc_RNA from 1 species